UACAGAGGUCCCAAGCGUUGUUCGGAUUCACUGGGCGUAAAGGGUGCGUAGGUGGCGCGUUAAGUCCGUUGUGAAAUCCCGGGGCUUAACCCCGGGCGUGCAGUGGAUACGGGCAGGCUGGAGGCAGGCAGGGGAGAAUGGAAUUCCCGGUGUAGCGGUGAAAUGCGCAGAUAUCGGGAGGAACACCGGUGGCGAAGGCGGUUCUCUGGGCCUGUUCUGACGCUGAGGAGCGAAAGCGUGGGGAGCGAACAGG
rnacentral:rRNA from 1 species